rnacentral:rRNA from 1 species
UACUCCUACGGGAGGCAGCAGUGGGGAAUUUUCCGCAAUGGGCGAAAGCCUGACGGAGCAAUGCCGCGUGAAGGUAGAAGGCCUACGGGUCAUGAACUUCUUUUCCCGGAGAAGAAGCAAUGACGGUAUCCGGGGAAUAAGCAUCGGCUAACUCUGUGCCAGCAGCCGCGGUAAUA